CUCCCUCCCCGCCCCCUGGCCCGGCACCGCCGCUGGAGAACUUCAGCGAGUUCCAGAUGGAAGGCGUCUCCGAGGACAGCAACGCCAUCUACGUCGAGCUCGCGGCCUGAAGACCGCGCAGAACGCCUGGGCCUUGGAGGUCAAGCUGACCCACCAGCACUUCCCCUCCGGACGGUGUCCGUAGAGCUGGUGUCUGUGUCGAGCAGCAGCCGCAGCAUGUGACCCACGACAUCCCGUGAAGGUCACUCCCAGGAGGCCGUGGAGGAACCUGCAGGAGCCACAGUCCCAGACGCUGAUGUGAGCAUUUAUCUGCCGGUCUUGAAGACGAUGAAGAGCGUUGUGGAAAAAAUGAAAAAUAUCAGCAAUCAGCUUGUAAGUCACAACUUCUUUAGCAAAGAGCUCUGAAGCGUUUGCUGUGGGCUGCACGCCUGCCCGAGGUGUGGGUGCCCUGGCACUCAGCGUGCGGGGUCCCCUCAUUGCCGGUGGUUGAGAGCUACAGCUUCCCAGGCGCCUGGGGAACCCGUCCGGGUGCUCUCCAGGGGCUCCCUGGGGAGAUUGUUCACAUUGGCCUCCUGCCUGUGUUUAUACUCACAGUAGAUUCAGCACGUUCAGCCGCUCUGGCUUCCCUCCCUUACGCUCGGAAAGACA